UACGUAGGGCGCAAGCGUUAUCCGGAAUUAUUGGGCGUAAAGAGCUCGUAGGCGGUUUGUCGCGUCUGCCGUGAAAGUCCGGGGCUCAACUCCGGAUCUGCGGUGGGUACGGGCAGACUAGAGUGAUGUAGGGGAGACUGGAAUUCCUGGUGUAGGCGGUGAAAAUGCGCAGAUAUCAGGAGGAACACCGAUGGCGAAGGCAGGUCUCUGGGCAUUAACUGACGCUGAGGAGCGAAAGCAUGGGGAGCGAACAGG
rnacentral:rRNA from 1 species